GACGAACGCUGGCGGCGUGCUUAACACAUGCAAGUCGAACGAAGAGCGAUGGAAGCUUGCUUCUAUCAAUCUUAGUGGCGAACGGGUGAGUAACGCGUAAUCAACCUGCCCUUCAGAGGGGGACAACAGUUGGAAACGACUGCUAAUACCGCAUACGAUCUAAUCUCGGCAUCGAGGAUAGAUGAAAGGUGGCCUCUACAUGUAAGCUAUCACUGAAGGAGGGGAUUGCGUCUGAUUAGCUAGUUGGAGGGGUAACGGCCCACCAAGGCGAUGAUCAGUAGCCGGUCUGAGAGGAUGAACGGCCACAUUGGGACUGAGACACGGCCCAGACUCCUACGGGAGGCAGCAGUGGGGAAUCUUCCGCAAUGGACGAAAGUCUGACGGAGCAACGCCGCGUGAGCGAUGACGGCCUUCGGGUUGUAAAGCUCUGUUAAUCGGGACGAAAGGCCUUC
rnacentral:rRNA from 1 species